rnacentral:rRNA from 1 species
GGAAGUAAAAGUCGUAACAAGGUUUCCGUAGGUGAACCUGCGGAAGGAUCAUUACUGAUUUAGCGAACCGAGCGUUAGCGAGGUUUUGCGAUCAACUUGUAUUUAAAACCCACUCUUCAAUGUAUAAAAUUUGUAUUAAUGAUAAAUUAAAGAUCACUUUCAACAACGGAUCUCUUGGCUCUCGCAUCGAUGAAGAACGUAGCGAAGUGCGAUAAGUAAUGUGAAUUGCAGAAUUCCGUGAAUCAUCGAAUCUUUGAACGCAAAUUGCACUCUCUGGUAUUCCGGAGAGUAUGCCUGUUUGAGGGUCAGUUAAAUAAAAAUCGGUGUUGUUGCUGCCUUGCGUGGUGAUGCAUCGGAUUUGGGUCGUCUUACUUUUGGUUAAGUGACCUAAAAUUUUAUAUGAUUUUCGAACGUAUUUAAAUUUAUUUGAACGUUUGAUAUCGAAUGCUUAUUAGGUUCGGUCAUCCUCAUGACUCGCGCCUAUAAUUUUUCAUUAAAUGACCUCAAAUCAGGUAAGAAUACCCGCUGAACUUAAGCAUAUCAAUAAGCGGAGGA